AAGUCUAAAGAUAAAGAACAGAGAACAAGAAGACAACAGAGUUCUUGUAGAAGCAAAACAAUGAUAGAAAUUCCAUUACUUGCCACACAAGUCAAUAUUCUUCUCAAACGGUCUGAAAUUCAAAGCGGUAAAUCCAUAGACACAAAGAUUAGACAUCUUGGAGUCAAACACGACCUGAUCCGUUGUAGUUUUGUAGCCAGGAACGUUGCAGGACUCCGAGGAGCUACUGAUCAAGCUUGCCUGACAAGAAGCCAUUAGAGAAUCUUUGUCGUCUUCUGCUGCGCAAGAAACGCCUUCCACAGAUGUUAUGUCUAGCUUGUAGAGUCCAAGCUCGUCCGUAGUU
rnacentral:lncRNA from 1 species